CAUUGGCCAGGAAAAUAUACCUUUUUACCAGCAAUAGAAAAAAAUGACCACUAAAGUUCUAAUUGAAAGCGAAUGUUUCAAAUUUGUCCCUCCAUUUUUUCCCACAUCAAUCUUCCCUCCAAUUAUUUUUUAGGUCUUCUCUGUAUAUCACGAAAUUAUUUCAGAAAUAGGCUCUGUAAAGGCUAUCUUCGUUCAUGCUGCCCAACGCAUCUCUGUGUCACCAUAAUUGGCCACCAUCCUAGGUAACAUCAUCAUCUCUCUAUUCUCUCUCACCCCUCUCUAUAUACCCAUUAUCAACAACGAGGGGUAGCCUAUCCACAAAGAAUUGAGACUUGAGAGGUAUUUCUUUCAAAAAGAACUUAAACCUUUUUUGCAGUCGCGAAGCCAUUGACUUCAGGUCCCUGAUGGAGAAUGAAAUAUGUGAACUGAUAUCUUAUGUGUGAUUUUACUAUCGGUAUAUUAAAUGCUAGUCAACUAUGGCGAUUGAAAUCUGACUACUCUUCUUUGCAUAGUGGUAUUGAAUAUAUCCGGCAUUUUUGCGUUCAUGUAUGUGAUUUGAUGAUUUGCUUUCAUGGUUAUUUUACUUCCCAUACUAAUGAUGUGGGAAGUGUAUUUUGCAAUUUAGGUGUUCGAUGAAAUGCUUUUGCAGAUUUCUAACUCUUGUCUUCCAUUUUUUAAUGUUGAUUUCAGACGAUUUGUUAAUCUUUGACCGUUUCAAAUAGUCUGAUAGUGAACAUUUGUCCAUUUCCAAGUGAUUCAAAUAAGAAGGAGUUGAUAGGAGCUAGAACAUUAGCUAAAAGUAUCUCUAAAGAGAAUACGAUGACAAUUCUUGGGGUUACCAGAAGUUGAGGUAAUAGGAACAACAAUGACAAGGAGGCAUUAGAUGCUAUUGAGAAUGGUAUUUCAAUGGGUAUCUAGUUUGAUUGAGGUUUUCUGUUUCAUUUUUAUUUAUUUGUUUUCCUAUUUAAAACUUCUUCGUCAUAUGGAGUGUAUAUGUGGAUUAGAAGAUUGUUAUGGUUCAAUUUAGCACUUAUCAUAUGAUGUAUAUGAUACUCUGAUAUCAAGAAUUUGACCUUACUUAGCAAUAGGAAAAAGAAUAAUACUGAGUGCUAAGGUUAUUUGCCUCUAGCAGCUCAACCAUUAAGUUAGUAGUUCUAUUCUUGUUUAUGCCAAGAAAUUAAUAAUUGUAUAUUCCUGUAAGGCAGAGAGUCCUUUGUCUUGGUUAUUUGCUACUUGUCAUUUAUCUCAAUUUUAUGAGCAAUAAUUUCAAGAGCAAUAAACAUAUAAAAGUUAAAACAUCUUGGUUGGUUUUGCAGAAUAGUAUUGCAUUACCCUAAUUGAGAAAUGUAAUAAAGCUUUUACCUGUAGCUCUAUACGGGCUUUAGUUAACUUUUGGCAUAAAUUAUAUUUUGAAUCUUUUCUAUAUCUUCUUCGGUCUCAUUUUUGUUUUUACUUUCUUCUUUUUGGUCCUGGUUCUAACUUGAAAGUAGUUGAGAAUCAAAUCUUUUUCUUUUUUAGUUCCAAUGCCAUUAGAAAUCUUACGAGCUUAAAUUAGCUCACUCUUUUACUGUGAUAGCCAAUUGCCUCGUGAGUUCCUAUCUAUCUUAUUUAAACGGCUAGAAGCUCUCUCGGAUUCUAGGGAAGUUUUUGAAAAUAAUAUCUUGGAAAAUAUACAUGUUCUGUAUAUAAAUUAUAAUUUUCUUGUGUCACGUUUUCUGGGGUUGUGCUGCUACUAGUAGGAUAUUUAUGCAAGAAAAAGUAUUAAUAUACUCAAAUUAUUCAUUUUUUAUUUUUACUUGACCUUCAACAUUGUCCAGCCAAUAAUUUCACUAAAGAAGGGAUGCACAUCAAUUGAAGUAUGGUAAAAGAGGGAAGCCCAGAUUCUGUCCCCUCAUGGUAAAGCAUUUCAUGGAUCUCUUGUUCUUUUCACUCCUUAAGAAAAUUCUCAAAAUAAAUGGUAUCGUAUUUGGAAUAUAUAUCCAUAGAAUUAAUUGAAAAACUUGGCAUUUUCAUUGGGAAGAAGAUACAAUCAAUAUUCUUGGCAUUUUCCCAUUCAUAGUUUAUUGAAUCAAAUUUCUUGACAAAUCUUUGUAAACAUUGUACAUUAGCCAUUUAGACGUAGGACUCUACUUGUCCUUCUUUUUCUUCUACCAGUUCUAAGUUCCCUUUUGCUAGAAGUGCACUUUACAAGGAAUUGAUAAAAAUAUAAAUUCUAUACAUGUUGUCCUUGUUCCUGUAUAGGUUUUAAUAUAUUCAAAGAUAAAUGUGUUCUUUUUUGCUGUUGUUACUACAUGCAUAAAAGGACUAAAAUUUCUUUUUUGAAUUGUUAAUUGCUUUAUGACUAUUUUGUCUAUGUAGAUAUGGGCAUCAUUUGUGAUUUUCUUGCUUCUAAAUUUUGUUGGCGAGUCAUGUUUUAGCUGUGGUGAAAUCUAUUCUUAGAAGCUGUUUAGUUCUUCCUUUUUAGUCAUAAUCCAAUUCAGUCAGAGUAUAGUUCUCAAUUUUUCAUAUAAUCUGAAUCAUUUGACCCAUUUCAGAGGAGGAAGCAUUGUUCUGAGCAUCCUAAAAUUCAUAAAACUUUCUUACUCGAUGUAUAAACUGAUUUAGGUGUUGCAGUUGCUGAAAGUUUCAUUGCUCUCCAAGACUCUUUUGGGAAAUAUGAUAUUCUAAAGCUGGGGAAAACUCACGCACAAAGUGAGACAAGAAGGCCAUGUCUCAAAACUCAAAUAGCAUAAAGAAGGUUUUGUUCAGAAAUUUGGCUGUGGAAGAUUUCAAUGUCCUUGAGAGAGAAAGAAUUUUAUUGGUGCCACUUAUUGUCUAAUAUUUCAAUUAUUUGAUAACAGUUAUUAGAUGCACAAUUACACUAGUAUUGGAUUCAUAGUUUACUUUGUAUUUUUAUUUUGUUAUUGAUAUAAUUGAUAUUAUGGAUUAUAUGUU